AUGUACCCACGUACACUCCGGUUCCUCCGCGCCCUCCGCGCCGUCCGCACCCACCUGACGACUGCUCGCUACGUUUUGUUAGCC
rnacentral:sRNA from 2 species